AUGAGUGUGCAAGCUCCUAUCACGGAUGUCAGGAAUAUGCUCAAUGUUUGAACACCCUAGGUUCCUACCAGUGCCAGUGUAAGCAAGGGUUCAUGGCAGACGGUAAUACAUGUUAUGAUGUGGAUGAGUGUGCAAGCUCCUAUCACGGAUGUCAGGAAUAUGCUCAAUGUGUGAACACCCUAGGUUCCUACCAGUGCCAGUGUAAGCAAGGGUUCAUGGCAGACGGUAAUACAUGUUAUGAUGUGGAUGAGUGUGCAAGCUCCUAUCACGGAUGUGAUGAAUAUGCUCAAUGUGUGAACACCCUAGGUUCCUACCAGUGCCAGUGUAAGCAAGGGUUCAUGGCAGACGGUAAUACAUGUU